CGCCUGACUAAACGUGAGUGCAUCUGACCCAGAAAACAACAAGCUACUAGGAGUGCUUACCCCGGGACGUUGAGGGUCAACUUCUCUUCGACGAGAUGGGGUAGACAUUUGCACGCUAGAAUGGAUGUCUCCACGUCUUGUCGAGCGCGGUGUUCUCUGCGAACUACUGUCAAGGAACAAGUCAUUACGCUGAGAUAAAAGAUGAGAACGUGAACUCUGAGGAAUGUUUGGACCUGGUGAACUAGAUUCAAACAGUAAAGGAGAGGAAGCGAGAGGUGUACGCGCUGUAGUCCUCGGUGUUGUAAGGCGUGUAGAACCAGGAGACGAAGCAGGAAAAAAUAACGGAGAAGAAUCCACUGCUUCUCUUGAAGAGCUGUUAGCUCUUCCAGGAGUCCUCAACUCAUUGGCUCUGCCACUUUGCUGACUAGAGGACAUGACUCGUGGUGGGUGUAGAAAGACAGUGUAAGGGAGUAGAGUAACUACUCAUAAACAUACAACAAUGAAGAGAUAAAUAGCAUAGCAAAGAUUUAAAUAAUUGGAAAUUUGUAUAAUUUUUUAACAAUUUGUCAUAUUCUCCAUUGAUCAUCAAGCUACCAGUAAUUGACUAUGAAAAUGUAAACUAAAAAACUUUGCGACACUAGAUAUUAGGAUCAAUUAAAGCAAAUUUGUUAUCAUAAAUAAGGUAUUAUGAAUUUGUUAUUGACUUACUUCCUUUUAAGUGAUAUUCUAUUUUUUUGGACGAAUGAAGAGAAAUAUGAAAAGAAUGUUGAAAUAAAGGAUUACAUUGCUUUAAUUAAACGUUAUGCUAGUUUAACAUUUUGAGAUGAUCGUUUUUGCAAUUUGGAACUACCAGUUGUAUUUGAAGGUCGAAUCUAUUAACUGUGAUUUGACGCUAAUUGAAGAGGGCAGAUGGUGAUUUAGUAAUUUUACUAAUAAUAUUUCUUAAAAUAAGGUUUAUUUUGAAUUUUCUCUCAUAUUGAAUACCUGAGUUGUUAUUAUAUUAACCAUUUGUAGAGUUCAUUUGACCAUUCGACUACUGGACUGUCUCUAAUAAAAAAAACUUAAGUCUGUAUAUUAUGAGUUAUAUGGUGUGAAUUUCAAAUAGUGUAUGAAUGUAUUUUUCUAUUAUUUCUAGUGAAAUACCAUUGUGUAGGACGCAUACUUUUUCUCGAUUAUGUUUUGCUCUUCAAAACCUGAAAGGAUUAUAGACAUUUAUUGUAUCUUGAUUUUCUUCUAUGUAUAAUUGGUGAAAACUGGUUUAUUCUGUUUUACUAUUGAUGCCAUUAACGAUGAUACAAAAAUUGGCUUAUGUCUUUUCAAGGCCCUUUAAGAGAUG